GGGGUCCAAACCAGGCUCGUGGAUCCAACCGGACCCAUAAUUAAAAAGAAGCAGUAGCUUCUUCUCUUUCAUUUGCAUCCAACGAAGCCAUCAGAAUUGGGGGAAAGGGAAGAGGAGAUCUCAAACUCUCACAACCUUUGAUCCACCAUAAUUCCUCCGUCCGGACUCCGAUCGCCGCACCGUUCGCGGCCACGCGCUCAGCGCGUCGAACUCUACCUUUCUAUCCGAUUAAUUUCACUGGCUCAACUUAGCGUCUGGGACUUGAUGGGCUCGAGCAAUUGAGCAUAUGGGUGUAGAUUGAAUGGGUAUAUAUGCUUUGGAAUUGAAUUGGGAAUAUUUGGAAGCUUGUUGGUGAUCAAAGCUUGGUUUGUGGCUGUUCUAAUUGAGCUUGGAGGGGCUGUGUUUUGUGUUGUGAGGCUGCCUUGGGUGAAACUAAGUGGUCGGCCAAGAUGUAGGUCGAGAGGCUCCUCACUAGGCGUCUGGAUCUUGAAGCGAAGUAGUUCCGGGAUGUAUUUUGGGUUUUUGUAUAUAUUUAUGUAUAUAUAUGUGUAGCUUACUCUCCAAGUAACUUGUGUAUGCUGCUCCUCCUAGAGGUUGAGGGAGAG